rnacentral:rRNA from 1 species
CCAUGCAAGUCGAGCGGUAACAGGGGAGCUUGCUCCCGCUGACGAGCGGCGGACGGGUGAGUAAUGUAUGGGGAUCUGCCCGAUGGAGGGGGAUAACUACUGGAAACGGUAGCUAAUACCGCAUAAUGUCGCAAGACCAAAGAAGGGGAUCUUCGGACCUUGCACUAUUGGAUGAGCCCGCGUGAGAUUAGCUUGUUGGUGGGGUAAAGGCCUACCAAGGCGACGAUCUCUAGCUGGUCUGAGAGGAUGAUCAGCCACACUGGGACUGAGACACGGCCCAGACUCCUACGGGAGGCAGCAGUGGGGAAUAUUGGACAAUGGGGGCAACCCUGAUCCAGCCAUGCCGCGUGUGUGAAGAAGGCCUUAGGGUUGUAAAGCACUUUCAGUGGGGAGGAAGGUAUCAAGUUUAAUAAGCUUGGUAAUUGACGUUACCCACAGAAGAAGGACCGGCUAACUCCGUGCCAGCAGCCGCGGUAAUACGGAGGGUCCGAGCGUUAAUCGGAAUGACUGGGCGUAAAGCGCGCGUAGGUGGUUAUUUAAGUUGGAUGUGAAAGCCCCGGGCUCAACCUGGGAAUAGCAUUUAGAACUGGCAGGCUAGAGUAUGGUAGAGGAUAGUGGAAUUUCCGGUGUAGCGGUGAAAUGCGUAGAGAUCGGAAGGAACAUCAGUGGCGAAGGCGGCUAUCUGGACCAAUACUGACGCUGAGGUGCGAAAGCGUGGGGAGCAAACAGGAUUAGAUACCCUUGGUAGUCACGCCGUAAACGAUGUCAACUAGCCGUUGGGGGGCUUGUCCCCUUAGUGGCGCAGCUAACGCGAUAAGUUGACCGCCUGGGGAGUACGGCCGCAAGGUUAAAACUCAAAUGAAUUGACGGGGGCCCGCACAAGCGGUGGAUCAUGUGGUUUAAUUCGAUGCAACGCGAAGAACCUUACCAGGUCUUGACAUCCCGAGAAUUUACUAGAGAUAGUUUAGAGCCUUCGGGAACUCGGUGACAGGUGCUGCAUGGCUGUCGGCAGCUCGUGUCGUGAGAUGUUGGGUUCAGUCCCGCAACGAGCGCAACCCCUAUCCUUAGUUGCCAGCACAUAAUGGUGGGAACUCUAAGGAGACUGCCUAUGUUAAGUAGGAGGAAGGUGGGGACGACGUCAAGUCAUCAUGGCCCUUACGGGAUGGGCUACACACGUGCUACAAUGGCAGGGACAGAGGGCAGCAAUACCGCGAGGUUGAGCGAAUCCCACAAAGCUUGUCGUAGUCCGGAUUGGAGUCUGCAACUCGACUCCAUGAAGUCGGAAUCGCUAGUAAUCGUAGAUCAGAAUGCUACGGUGAAUACGUUCCCGGGCCUUGUACACACCGCCCGUCACACCAUGGGAGUGGGUUGCAAAAGAAGUGGCUAGUUUAACCUUCGGGAGGACGGUCACCACUUUGUGAUUCAUGACUGGGGUGAAGUCGUAACAAGGUAACCC